GAUGAACGCUGGCGGCGUGCCUAAUACAUGCAAGUCGAGCGAAUGGAUUAAGAGCUUGCUCUUAUGAAGUUAGCGGCGGACGGGUGAGUAACACGUGGGUAACCUGCCCAUAAGACUGGGAUAACUCCGGGAAACCGGGGCUAAUACCGGAUAACAUUUCGAACCGCAUGGUUCGAAAUUGAAAGGCGGCUUCGGCUGUCACUUAUGGAUGGACCCGCGUCGCAUUAGCUAGUUGGUGAGGUAACGGCUCACCAAGGCAACGAUGCGUAGCCGACCUGGGAGGGUGAUCGGCCACACGGGGACUGAGCCACGGCCCAGACUCCUACGGGAGGCAGCAGUAGGGAAUCUUCCGCAAUGGACGAAAGUCUGACGGAGCAACGCCGCGUGAGUGAUGAAGGCUUUCGGGUCGUAAAACUCUGUUGUUAGGGAAGAACAGGUGCUAGUUGAAUAAGCUGGCACCUUGACGGUACCUAACCAGAAAGCCACGGCUAACUACGUGCCAGCCGCCGCGGUAA
rnacentral:rRNA from 1 species